rnacentral:rRNA from 1 species
GACGAACGCUGGCGGCGUGCUUAACACAUGCCAGUCGAACGGAAAGGCCCUGCUUUUGUGGGGUGCUCGAGUGGCGAACGGGUGAGUAACACGUGAGUAACCUGCCCUUGACUUUGGGAUAACUUCAGGAAACUGGGGCUAAUACCGGAUAGGAGCUCCUGCUGCAUGGUGGGGGUUGGAAAGUUUCGGCGGUUGGGGAUGGACUCGCGGCUUAUCAGCUAGUUGGUGGGGUAGUGGCUUACCAAGGCUUUGACGGGUAGCCGGCCUGAGAGGGUGACCGGCCACAUUGGGACUGAGAUACGGCCCAGACUCCUACGGGAGGCAGCAGUGGGGAAUAUUGCACAAUGGGCGGAAGCCUGAUGCAGCAACGCCGCGUGCGGGAUGACGGCCUUCGGGUUGUAAACCGCUUUCGCCUGUGACGAAGCGUGAGUGACGGUAAUGGGUAAAGAAGCACCGGCUAACUACGUG